rnacentral:lncRNA from 1 species
AGCCACAGCAACACUGGAUCUGAGCCGCGUCUGCGACCUACCCCACAGUUCACAGCAACUCGGGAGCCUUAACCCACUGAGCGAGGCCAGGGAUCGAACCCGCAACCUCAUGGUUCCGAGUCGAAUUCGUUUCCGCUGGACCACGAUUCCUGGGACUUGCAUUUUAAUCAUGGCACAUGGGCUCAUCAGCUUCUUAGUACACAAGUAUCUGGAAGACUUUGGAUUGAAAAUAUGUAUCCGUCAUAUACAGUUUCAAAGGUUGUCUUUUUCAGAGUAAGCCAUCCAGCCUCCCCCAAAUUAUAGUAAGCUCACUGCGGAGGAGGCUGAAAAAAGGCCAGCAAGAAGGAAUUUGAUGGAACAAAGUGAGAUCGUAAACAGUCUUCCACGAAGAAGGAGUGGAUUACUGGGAUGAAAAGAGCCAGAAAGUCCCAGCUGGGUUCCCACCAGCUCCUUGGGGGAAAAGGUGCCGUUCCUGAGCUUUGGAGCAAGAAUUCCACAUCAAAGGCCCAGGAAUCCGCUCCAAACAACUUGGAGACUCAGAGUCUGCGAAAUCAUUGACAACUGGGUCUUAAUAGCUAACCUUGAUUUCAGGCUUAUUAGGAGCCAGGCACCAUGCCAAGCUUUUUGCCCAGAACACCUCAUUUUUUUCUUCACCACAGCCCUAUUAUUUGACCUGGCUUGCAGAUGGGGAAACUAAGGCUCAGAGACGCCAAGUCAUUGGUCUCAGGUCAUGCUGGUGAGUGGCCCUGCUGGCUUAUCCUGGUCCACAGUCUGAGCGCCUCACUGCUCUGCAUGCUGCUGUUUGAGCUGCAGGGACAUUGUAUUGUGUUGCAUUGUAUUGUGUUGUAUUGCACUGUAUUGUAUUUCAUUGCAUUGCAUUGCGUUUUAAUGGCCACACUCAAGGCAUACGGCAGUGGCUCGGCCAAGGAUUGAAUCCAAGCCUCAACUUCAACCUACACCACAGCUGUAGCAUUACUGGACCCUUUACUGGACUGAAGAUCGAACUCACACAUCUGUAGGCAUCCAAGUUGCUGCAGUCAGAUCCUUAACCCACUGCACCACAGCAGCAACUCCAGUGACUUUUUUAAAAAGAACCACCUUUGGAGUUCCCUUUGUGGCUCAGCAGGUUAAGAACCUGACAUAGUGUCCUAACGAUGCAGGUUCGAUCCCUGGCCUCACCAGUGUGUUAGGAUCUGGCAUUGCUGCAAGGUGUGGAAUGGGCCUCAGCUGCGGCUCUGAUUCAACCCCUUGCCCAGGAACUUCCAUAUGCUGCAGGUGCAGCUGGAAGAGAAUAAAAAAAAAAAAUCUUCAUUUACCUGUGUAUGACUCGGGGGUAGUGGGACGCGUCUUGGACCCACUGCAGGGUGCUGGGUGCCAGGGCCGUGACACAUGUGACUUUGAUGAUGGGCAGGUGGCAGAUUCCCCAGGCUCCCUUUCCUCACGUGUUGAUGAUCUAUUAAGUUUUAAGGAUCCACAAACUAGGAGGCUUAAAACAAUAGAAAUGCACCAUCCCACAGUUCUGGAAGCCAGGAGUCCAAGGUCAAGGUGUUCUCAGGGCUGCACUUCCUCCCAGGGCUCUCGGAGAGGGUCCUUCCUGCCUCUUCCAGCUUCCUUGGCUCUUGGCUGCGUCCCUCCAACCUCAGCCUCUGUCUUCACGUAACAUUCCCCCUCCCCCACCCUGUGUGUCUGGGUCCAAAUUUGCUGCCUCUUAUGAGGAUACCAGUGAUUGGAUCGGAUCCUGAUCCAGCCUGACCUCUUUGGAGUUUGAUUACGUCCAUCAAGAUGGGACCCGGGGUUUAGGGAUUCACCCAGCUCUUUGGGGGCACACAGUGUAACCCGCAACAAGUCCACUCUCGGUUUACCAUUCUGUGGAUUUUUUUUUUUUUCCUUUCAUUCUAUCCCAUCCUUUAAUUGCCGAUACUUUUUUUUUUUCCUUCUUUUUUAAAGCCACACCUGAGGCAUAUGACAGUUCCUGGCCUAGGGGUCAAAUCAGAGCUGCAGCAGCCGGCCUCGACCACAGCCACAGCCACAGCCACACGGGAUCUGAGCUGCAUCUGUGAUCUGCAGCAGCUUGCAGCAAGGCCGGGGAUUGAACCCCGGUCCUCCCAGACACUGUGUCAGGUUCUUAACCCUCUGAGCCACAUCAGGAACUCUUAAUUGCUGAUAAUUUUAAUUUGGCAUUCAAGUGUCAUUUUCAUUUGGUGCUUUUGGUGGUGUGCUGACAUGGAGCCUGUGACAAGAUAGUGUGCCGGGGCUCAGGGCGGGAGGCUGGGGAGGGGAGGAUUUGGGGUUACUUUCUGUAUUUCUGUGUCAGUUUCCUCGCGAGAGUGUAAGUCACUUACUUACAUUUUUAAAGUGUCUCUUGUCCUGUUGCCUUACUUCUAGAAUGGCUGGAAUUAUUGUGUAACCUGGGAAAAGCCCACUUAGAUGAACUCAGAUGGCUAGUAUUUAAACACCUAUGAGUCACAGAUACUCAUGUGGAAAGCGUGCAUUUCAUCGUUUAAAGACCCUGUAAGACAUGUCACCUUUUUUCAAGGGAAUCUGUUUGAUGGGAAAUACACUCCUUUUCCCCUCCAGCAUCCCGGCUGUUUCUUGACCCCUGCCCGACCCCCUCUGCUGUCGGUAGGCAGCCUGACCUAUGGGCCCCCCGUCUCCCCCUAGAAUGAUCGCUGACCCCGUUCCAACGAAAACCAAAAGGGAAGGUCAAGGCAAGCCAUUGGCUUCAGUGACAGUGGCUUGAGUGACUUCUCCUGCGUGGUGGGCCCUGUCGGACCCCAGGAAAGGAAUUGUGAGACUGCAUUUUCCCCUCUUCACAGUGUGUGGGAAGCAUGUCUCUGAUGCUGAAUGGUCCUGGAUUCAGAGUCCGCCUGAGCCGAGGGUGGGGUGGUGACUGCUGACGAGCAGAGGGCAGCAGAGGUAGGUGUGGGAAGAGAACAAGGCACGUCUCCCUUGCACCUCAGAGAGCCUCCUUUUAGGACCAGCAAUGGGCUUUCUGCUUCCCCUUGGCUCCACUGCCACCUGUCACAGAUGCCUCCUUGCACUCGCUUUGUUCUGCUCGCCUAACCCGGGCUAGAGGUUGACACUGGGCCCCAUUGUUUGUUAGUGACAACGGAUACCACCCGGAAGACAGACCACACCUGGGAGGCAGGUGGAUGGGCCACCUGGACCUCUGAGCCCUGUGCCUCCCCUUCGACGGCUGGGUUGUGAGUAAGGGGGCAUGUCCCACGUCCUGGGCUGCUUUCCUAGGCUGCGGAGUCUGUGUGUGACACAGCUUGAAUUGGCGGUCACGUGACUCUCCUUGCUCCUCCCCUGGCCUAUAGAUGGACUAUCUGAUUUUUUUUGCCUGUGGCUACUCAAUAAAAAAUGGUUGCUUUUUGGCUCUGGGAAUUCUCAAAGAGGUAAGAGAUUCUUGGAUUGCCCGCAUCACCAUGUUAAAGAAACAAAACUAGCAGGUGUGGGAGUUCCUGUUGUGGCUCAACCAGUUAAGAAUCCGACUAGUAUCCAUGAGGAUGCGGGUUCAAUCCCCGGUCUUGAUCUGUAGGUUAAGGAUCUGGCGUGGCCAUAAGCUGCAGUGUAGGUUGUGGAUGCAGCUCGGAUCUGGUGUUGGCAUGGCUGUGGUCUAGGCCCCAAGCUGCCGCCCCAAUUUGACCCUUAGCCUGGGAACUUCCACAUGCUGCAGGUGCAGCCCUAAAAAGACAAAACCAACAGGUAUGUGUUUGAGCCGAUGCUUGCUACCUUGAACAGGUCUCAGGUCGGAUGUUUCAGUCUUAUUAUACGGAAUACCAUAUACCUGUACCUAGAAACACAGUCUCAGUGGGCUGGGAACCACCUGAGCUUGUCCGCCCUGCACCCCCCUCCUGCCAGAAAUCAAAGAGAAACACCCACAAGGCAGCUGUGCACCGCAGGGCAGAAGCAUGGAAAGCACUGAAUCAAAAAGUUUUCCUGGAGUUCCCGCCAUGGCUCAGUGGGUUAAGAACCUGACAUAGUUUCCCUAAGGAUGUGGGUUUAAUCCUUGGCCUUGCUCUGUGGAUUAAGGAUCCAGCAUUGCUGCAAGCUGUGGUGUAGGGCACAGAUGCAGCUCGGAUCUAGUGUGGCUAUGGCUGUGUCAUAGACCAGCAGGUAUGACCGCUAAAAACAAAGUUUUCCAUAUAGCCUAUGGUGGGCGGGAUAAUCAGGUCUGACCACUUUUCUUUCCUUCUUUCUUUUUUCUUCUUAGGGCUGUACCCUCUGCAUAUGGAAGUUCCCAGGCUAGGGGAUGUAUCUGAGCUGUAGCCACUGGCCUAUGCCACAGCCACAGCAAUGCAGGAUCCGAGCCACAUCUUUGACCUACACCACAGCUCACAGCAACACCGGAUCCUUAACCCACUGAGUGAGUCCAGGGAUCGGAAUUGCAUCCUCGUGGAUCCCAGUCAGAUUCGUUUCUGCUGCGCCACCACAGGAACUCCUCUGACUGCUUUUCAAAGCAGGAUGUGUGUUACCCAAAGGGAAGCUCUGCUUUCUGAAGCGGUUGUGGAUUCCCCAAGCCUCAGAGGGAGCUCUGUGCUGCCUCCUGGGGAAAUGCAUUAGCUUUUUCCCAUGGGACAAGCCACCUCGGGAGGAGCAAGCGGGUCUGCAUGCUUGUCAGUCUUUGGGAAUUCGGUAUAUCUAGUGCGGAUCCCAGAGAUGGGCUGCUCGCCAAACACUGGAGUGGCUGAGCAAAUUCUUACACCUCUGGGGCCUCAGUGUCCCCCUCUGUCAAUAAGGAGACUUGACGGGCUGCCCCGAGAUGCCUUCUAGAAGCCCUGACACUCAAUGGCUAAAAUCCAUUAUGUUGGUGAGAGCUUCUGAUAGCUCUCAUUCUCAGCAGCUGUAAGCAGGUGCAUCACCUUGGGGGGGCAGUCUCUUAAGGUGUGGAACCCCAUUUAGGCCCCGGGGAGCCGGGAGGCUGUGUGCUGCUGGCUUGAAGGCCACAACUGGAGUCCUUGCUUCUCAGACUGGCCGGCCGCAGGAGCACCUGGUAACCUUGGUUAAAAAUGCAGAUUCCCAGAGCUCCCUUGGGGCGCAGCAGGCUAAGAAUCCAGCGCUGUCAUUUCUGGGGCUCCAGUCGCUGCUGUGGCCCGCGUUGGAUUGCUGCCCUGGGAAUUUGCACACAUGGCAAGCAUAACAAAAAAGAAAAAAAAA